GAGCCAGUUAUGAUGUAUAUCUGUGAAGGUCAUCUAGUCUAGUGUUUCCUUUAAGACCAAUGUUCCCUUGUUGACUUUUUGUCUUGAUAAUCUAUCCAUUGAUAUAAGUGCUGGAGAAAUGAAGGAGUAAAAUGAGACCUCUGAAAUACACAGAAAUAGCACCUGGAUAAUGAGCUGAUUUUUCAACAUCAACAAUGGAAGCCAAAAGACAAUGGAAUGAUAUCUUCAAAAUAAUAAAAGCAAGUAAUUUCUGACUUAGAAUUCUAUCACAGCUGAAAAUUUCUUUCAAAAAAUGAAGACAUUUUCAGAAAAACAAAAACUGAUAGAAUUAAUGAGCAGCAGACACACAUGGAGGCAAACAACAAAGAACAUUCUUCGGGUAGAAGAAAAAUGAUCUUGAAUGGCAGCUAGAAUAUGCAGGAAGGGAUGAAGAGCAACGGAAAGGGUCAUGAGAUUUUGCUGUUGGAGCUGCAGCAGCCAUAUUGUGAUUGACUCUGAGAGAAAGGCCAACAGACAUCAGCCAUAAAGUCCUUGAGCCACUACACUAGCUCAGGAUGUCCUACCUGUCAUAUGAAAGAAAAGUAAAUUCCCAUCCUGGGCACACCUCUCUUUUUUCAUUCUCUUAUAGCUAUAAUGAUCUUGGAUAAGAUGACCACAAGAAAAAAUUAGAGUGGGAAGAGCAGAUGCUGUCAGAAACUUUGAACUUUGGAGAACACUACUGUUUAAGGAGUGAAAGAAGAGCAGCCCAUGAAGACCAACAAAAUAACAGACAUCACUUGCAGAUGCAGGAAGAAGCCAUGAAGAGAGUAAAAUCACUGAGGACAAAGGAGUAAUCAAUAUUUUGAAAUUCAGCAGAGCAGACCAAUAAGAGUCAAUAUGUGUCCAUUGGAUUUGGUAUUUAGGAAUCGAUGUAGUUUAGUACAUCAAUAGAGAAGGCAAUUGAAAAAUUCUUAUUGACUUUGCUUAAUACUAAAUUGCUUAUGAUGAUUCAUUCAUUAAACAAAUAAUUAUUGAGCACCAAGCAAGUACAAGGCACUAUAUGUACAAUGAUAAUCAAAACAGACCGAGAGCUUAGAGUCUCAUAAUUUAUAAAGACGCUUCCC
rnacentral:lncRNA from 1 species